UCCUGUUCUCAUUGCCCUGCCUCUACUUCCUGUCUGUUUGUCCUGCUUAUGCUUCCUGCCUGGCUACUGGCAAAUCAGCAUUUAUUUAAAACAUAAUUGACAGGAUAUAGAAUUGUCCUGCACUAUUGAUUCAAAUAGUAUUUUGCCCCUAUACCCAUGUAGGAUGAUCAAUUUGCACAUCAGGACUGCUCUGAACCUCCACCAGAGUUUCCUUGGGCGUCGCCCUGCCCAGGCAUAGGUCACCACCUUUCUGGUCCUAAUGUGUGUGCUCGUGCUCCACCUCCCCAGACCUUUAAUCAUUCACUUUACCAGAUAAAACUGUGUUCUGCAAGAGCGCCAGCUGUAGGAGGUUCUUCUAUGUGUCAUUUUCAUUGGUUAACCAAUAGAGAAACUGCUUGGCCUAAUAGGGUAGAACUUAGGUAGGUGGAGAUGACAGAACUGUAUUCUGGAAGGAAGAAAGCAGAGAGUCGGAGAGAGCCACCAUGGAGCUGUCAGGUCAGACAAGCUGAAUCUUUUCCGGUGAUGUGAAGGAGCCCUUCUUACUGCUGUGCUCCCGAGUGCACCCCGAUUCCCAUAAUGAUGACUUAUAAGGCUUGCUGAAAUGCCCAAGUCACUUCUGUUGCUGUGAUAAAUUCCCUGGCUAGAAGCAGCAUAAGGGGGAGAGAGUUUUAUUUGGCAUACUGUCACGGGUUAUGGUCCAUUGUUUUGGGGAAAUCAAGGCAGAGACUUAAGAGGCUGGUCACAUACACAGUCAAGAGCACAGAGGUGCAAAUGCAUCCAUGCAGCCGGCCUGUGGCUUCUGCUCCCUGUAGCUUUCUUAGCUCUCACACCAUCUCACCUUGAUUAAGAACAGACAUGCACAGGGGUCAACCUGUUCUACAUACUUCCUUGGAAAGGCUGUCUUCCCAGGAGAUUCCAGGUCAAGUCAAGACCAUGGUUAUAACUAACCAGCAGAGGGGGCUGUGUGAUGUCAGGUUUCUAUCUGGAGCAAAUGAGCCCUGGGUUAGCAGUGAGGAACCUUUUUCCUCCCUGGUGUCUCGUCCACUCCGCCCCAAGCUUGCCUCACUAGACCUGAAUUCCAUUUUGCUGCAGUCACAUGCACCUGACAUCCAUCUUACUAUUAGAUUCUUGGGGUGUCCCCUCAUCUUUUCAAAUUCAUCUGCCCCAGGAAGCUGAACGUAAAUACCUACUGCUUUUCAUAGGAUAUUGAGCAGGGCCUGGGGUCUGUCCCGUGACUGUCAUUAUCCAUUACUAAAGCUGACAGUUUCUACUUCCCUCAUCCAGCUAGAAUACCGCCCUCCCUUAGCACUUGACCACUCUCGGGGCACUGAUCCCCUACCCAAUGUCACGGUUUUCUCCCUCUACUAGACUAUAAGCCUAGAUAUGAGAUGGAGCACUGAGGUCAAAGCCCCGGGUUCAGCAUCAACUACGUUUUCUUAGCCUGCUUACUUCUUUUCUGUCAGAUUGCAAGUCUUUAAAUUGAAAGCUUGUAUCAAGUUUUCUGAAGGUUCCGGUUUUGAUGAUGUGUAUGUGUGGGAGUCACACCAAGGGCAAAGAGUUAGGUCACUGUUGCCUCCCAUCAUCUUGUUAAGAAACAGCAUUCCACACUCUUACCGGGGAGCAGGAGCCACCCACCCUCUUCCUUGAGCUGUGUGUUCUCACUCUGCUUGCCAAAGCUCACACUCCAGUACUUGGCGAUCUAAGACCAAGCAUUGCCUCUGGCCAUUGUCCUACAGAUGGUCUCAUUCGCUGGACACUCUGCUGGGUCCCCAGAGGCCACCCUUGUCCAGUGCCUGACUCUGUAUGGCACCCAGGACACGCACCGACUCUCAGCAAACCCGGCUUCAGUGGUGUCCAGUGUCUUUACUCACCUCGGCCCUCCCCUGCUUGAACACGCCUCCUCUGCACCAUCUCUCCAGCUGUCGGCCCAGCAUGGAUCCAUCUGACUCGCCUUUCCAAGUCCCACCUGUCUCCUGAACCUUUCCCAGACACCUUCUGCUCAGUUCCUUUCUUUCAGUCAUAUGCACACCACACUUAAACCCGUGGGGGAGCUCUGCCCUGUGCUUCCCUUAUUCCAUGACCACAGACUGCAUAAUCCUGGGGAAAAGGAAAGGGGGUUCACAGGCUUGGGCAGGUGCCGUUUUUUUGAGCCUUUACUGCCUCCUUGUGGUAAUUUGCAUGUAGUACAUAGCCCCUUUGUGAAGGCCUUUACCACUCUGUGUUUAGAUGAGUAGGUAAGGGGGGGUCUUUGUUAUUCAAAGCAUACUAAGGCCUUAUGUUUGUCAGGCUAGAUACACAAACCAGUUUCUUCUUUCCAGCCACUCUGGCUAGACCUUGGGAGACUGCUUUUCCCAGAGAAAACGGUCCAGUGGAUUCAGUGAGGGAUUUCAGCAGGCUGAAAUCAAGAUUGAAGAUCCUUUCCCAUACCCCACCAGAAUCACUUCCUUCUGAGCUAAUAGAACCUGCUUAUGGAAGGUGUUCAGUGUACCCCAGGUGUGUGGACACUCACUCUGGACAAGCUGCCUGGGGUGUAUGUGCACCAGUCCUCAGCUGUGCCCAACCUGGAUGCCCAGACAUCGUCCAGUGAGCUGAACUGAGG